rnacentral:rRNA from 1 species
UGAGGAAUAUUGGACAAUGGAGGCAACUCUGAUCCAGCCAUGCCGCGUGAAGGAAUAAGGCCCUAUGGGUUGUAAACUUCUUUUAGACGGGACAAAACCCCUUUACGUGUAAAGGGUUGAUGGUACUGUCAGAAUAAGCAUCGGCUAACUUCGUGCCAGCAGCCGCGGUAAUACGAAGGAUGCAAGCGUUAUCCGGAAUUAUUGGGUUUAAAGGGUGCGUAGGCGGACUAAUAAGUCAGUGGUGAAAGCCUGCAGCUUAACUGCAGAAUUGCCAUUGGUACUGUUAGUCUUGAGUACAGUUGAGGUAGGCGGAAUGUGUCAUGUAGCGGUGAAAUGCUUAGAUAUGACACAGAACACCGAUUGCGAAGGCAGCUUGCUAGGCUGUAACUGACGCUGAGGCACGAAAGCGUGGGGAGCAAACA